AAAGUAUCACCUGCCCAAUGAUAAUUAAAUGGCUGCAGUAUAUUAACUGUACAAAGGUAGCAUAAUCAUUUGUUUUAUAAAUUAAAACUUGUAUGAAUGGUAUAAUGAAAAUAUAACUGUCUUUUAUUUAUAAAUAAAAUUUGCUUUUUCAGUGAAGAAGCUGAAAUAAUUUAGAAAGACGAGAAGACCCUAAUGAGUUUUAUAUAUUAUUAUAUAUUUAUAUAAAUAUAUAUUUUAUUGGGGUAAUAAAAGAAAAAAUCUUCUUUUUUAUAAAGAAAAUAAUAAUUAUUGAACCAUUAAUAAUGAUUAAAAGUUUAAAUUACCAUAGGGAUAACAGCAUAAUCUUUUUUAAGAGUACAUAUCGACAAAAAGGAUUGUGACCUCGAUGUUGAAUUAAGAAAAUUAUAUGAUGCAGAAAUUAGUA
rnacentral:rRNA from 1 species